rnacentral:rRNA from 1 species
GAACGGGUGAGUAACACGUGGGUGAUCUGCCCUGCACUUUGGGAUAAGCCUGGGAAACUGGGUCUAAUACCGAAUAUGAUCACGGGCUUCAUGGUCUGUGGUGGAAAGCUUUUGCGGUGUGGGAUGGGCCCGCGGCCUAUCAGCUUGUUGGUGNNNNAAUGGCCUACCAAGGCGACGACGGGUAGCCGGCCUGAGAGGGUGACCGGCCACACUGGGACUGAGAUACGGCCCAGACUCCUACGGGAGGCAGCAGUGGGGAAUAUUGCACAAUGGGCGCAAGCCUGAUGCAGCGACGCCGCGUGAGGGAUGACGGCCUUCGGGUUGUAAACCUCUUUCAGCACAGACGAAGCGCAAGUGACGGUAUGUGCAGAGGAAGGACCGGCCAACUACGUGCCAGCAGCCGCGGUAAUACGUAGGGUCCGAGCGUUGUCCGGAAUUACUGGGCGUAAAGAGCUCGUAGGUGGUUUGUCGCGUUGUUCGUGAAAACUCACAGCUUAACUGUGGGCGUGCGGGCGAUACGGGCAGACUGGAGUACUGCAGGGGAGACUGGAAUUCCUGGUGUAGCGGUGGAAUGCGCAGAUAUCAGGAGGAACACCGGUGGCGAAGGCGGGUCUCUGGGCAGUAACUGACGCUGAGGAGCGAAAGCGUGGGGAGCGAACAGGAUUAGAUACCCUGGUAGUCCACGCCGUAAACGGUGGGUACUAGGUGUGGGUUUCCUUCCUUGGGAUCCGUGCCGUAGCUAACGCAUUAAGUACCCCGCCUGGGGAGUACGGCCGCAAGGCUAAAACUCAAAGGAAUUGACGGGGGCCCGCACAAGCGGCGGAGCAUGUGGAUUAAUUCGAUGCA